AGGAGGAACAGCCCCAGUGGCGGGGCAGCUCUGGAGCCCUGGAUUCAGCUCCGGCAGUAACUCUGUCUGCAGGGCCUGGAGGCUCCGGGGCGGG
rnacentral:pre_miRNA from 1 species